rnacentral:rRNA from 1 species
GAUAAACGCUGGCGGCGCACAUAAGACAUGCAAGUCGAACGGACUUAACCGAAAGUUUACUUUUGGAGCGGUUAGUGGCGGACUGGUGAGUAACACGUAAGCAACCUGCCUAUCAGAGGGGAACAACAGUUAGAAAUGACUGCUAAUACCGCAUAUGCCUAAGUACCACAUGGUACAAUAGGGAAAGGAGCAAUCCGCUGAUAGAUGGGCUUGCGUCUGAUUAGAUAGUUGGUGUGGUAACGGCACACCAAGUCGACGAUCAGUAGCCGGAACUGAGAGGUUGAACGGCCACAUUGGGACUGAGAUACGGCCCAG